UUAUUCGGGUUUUAUGUUUCGGGUUCGGGUCGGGUUGUUUGGGUUUUUGGCCUGAAAAAAGUAACCUGAACCGAACUAUUGAAAUAGUGGGUUGGUCGGGUUCGGGUUUUUCGCUAAAUCUGGUUCGGAUAAAAAUGAAGAGCCUUAUUCACAGAAUGAUGGAUUUGAUAAGGAGGUGGAACUACGAACACUUUUAGUUGAGGUGGCAAAGAAUUGAAGUUAUCGAUGUUGCAGCUGUGAAAAAUACAUGUCAAAUUUGGUGGCGGCUAUUGUUGAUAAGGACUGAUUAGUCUUGGGCAGAUCUGUCCAUUUACCUGUUACGGGUCGUAUGCGUCAAUUCUUGCAUUGAUCGGGUAAAUUUCCUUAAUAGAGACUAUAUGAAACUUUAGCAGAUUAUUAAAAUUUUAAGUUUGAUUAACUUUUAUGAAUUUCAUAGUUUGAAAAUGUUCAGAUCAUUCAU